UACAGAGGUCUCAAGCGUUGUUCGGAUUCAUUGGGCGUAAAGGGUGCGUAGGUGGCGCGGUAAGUCGGGUGUGAAAUUUCCGGAGCGUUAACUCCGAAACUGCAUUCGAUACUGCCGUGCUUGAGGACUGGAGAGGAGACUGGAAUUUACGGUGUAGCAGUGAAAUGCGUAGAGAUCGUAAGGAAGACCAGUGGCGAAGGCGGGUCUCUGGACAGUUCCUGACACUGAGGCACGAAGGCCAGGGGAGCAAACGGG
rnacentral:rRNA from 1 species